UACAGAGGGGGCGAGCGUUGUUCGGAAUUACUGGGCGUAAAGGGCGCGUAGGCGGUUUCGUAAGUCCUGUGUGAAAUCCCCCGGCUCAACUGGGGAACUGCACAGGAAACUGCGAGGCUUGAGUUCGGGAGAGGGAAGCGGAAUUCCGGGUGUAGCGGUGAAAUGCGUAGAUAUCCGGAGGAACACCGGUGGCGAAGGCGGCUUCCUGGACCGACACUGACGCUGAGGCGCGAAAGCCAGGGGAGCAAACGGG
rnacentral:rRNA from 1 species